CUGCUGCCUUCCGUAGGAGUCUGGGCCGUGUCUCAGUCCCAGUGUGGGGGACCUUCCUCUCAGAACCCCUACGCAUCGUCGGUUAGGUGGGCCGUUACCCCGCCUACUGCCUAAUGCGCCGCAUGCCCAUCCCUGUCCGGCCGAAGCCUUUCCUGCCUCCGGGAUGCCCCGGGUGGCAUGUACGCGGGUUUAGCCCGCCUUUCGGCGGGUUGUCCCCCUGACGAGGGGCGAGGUUGCAUACGUGUUACUCACCCGUGCGCCGGUCGCCGGCGGAGAAAG
rnacentral:rRNA from 1 species